rnacentral:rRNA from 1 species
CACCGCGGUUAUACGAGAGACCCAAGUUGACAGAACCCGGCGUAAAGCGUGAUUAAUAUAAUUAUUUACUAAAGUCGAACACCCCCUAGGCUGUUAUAAGCCGUCGGUAGUGGGAAGCCCAUUAACGAAAGUGACUUUAAACGUAUGAAUUCACGAAAGCUAUGAAA